rnacentral:rRNA from 1 species
UACGGGGGGGGCAAGCGUUGUUCGGAAUUAUUGGGCGUAAAGGGCGCGUAGGCGGCCAGGGAAGUCAAGGGUGAAAGCCCCCGGCUCAACCGGGGAAUAGCCAAUGAAACCACCUGGCUGGAGUGCUGGAGAGGAAAGCGGAAUUCCCAGUGUAGCGGUGAAAUGCGUAGAUAUUGGGAGGAACAUCUGUGGCGAAGGCGGCUUUCUGGACAGACACUGACGCUGAGGCGCGAAAGCCAGGGGAGCAAACGGG